CUCUUUGAUUACAAAACAAAUUCCCUAAAAAUCUGAACUCCUAGGACUGCCAAGUUGGGAGGAGUAAGGACAGCUGAAAAGCUCUGUGAUGUGACUGGUUUCAAAGCGUCCAGAGGAAAGACCACUAAAAGUAAUCAAAAUCUUAUAACUUCCACGUUUUCUCCUCUACCCCAUUUGAAGAAACAUUUUAGCACUCUCUCUUAAGAGAAAAUGCCAUGUCUUCCUUUCUUCUAAGUUUUGAUUUCCAGAUGUAUUCAACUAUGAUUUAACAAAAAGAACAUGUUUUUAUCAUGAAUUUAGUUCAUGGUGUCCUGCUACUCUGAAAUACAUAGUUGCAGGGUGAUUAUCUCUGACCAGUGAACUUUUAAAAGAGAUUUUCCUGCCUAUUUUAGUCUUUCUUGUUAUCUUCACUUAAUCCAGCUCCCUUUGUGUAAAGAAAUGGUAUGCAUUAGGUACAUGUAUGGCUUUGUGUUAUAAUUUCCACUUUUCUGUGUGAUUCUUCCAAAUAAGGGGAAAAUGUAGAGAUUGAACAUAAGUGAUUUUGAAAGAACAAUUCAUUUUAUUUACUCAGGACAGAGAACUGUCUAUUUGAUUACAUCAUUGUAGGGCUAAAUUUCUAGUAAUUAACAUUCAUGUAAAUUAAAGUGCUGUUAGAAAAAGAGGACAUUUAGUAAUAAUGAAUCACAAUUUAUCUCCAAGAACCAGACCACUUAGCUGGCUCUUCAAGGGUCACUGAAAAUGUCUGUCUCUUCUUCCUGACCACAGUGCAAUCACCUGGGGAGUCUUCUUUUCUUCCUUCUGUAUACCCAGAACCAGUCUCGUUGCUUGGCAGUUAUUCACUCAGUACUUGCUGCGUGUUCAGCAAUAAUAUAUAAGCAGAUUGUAUACAGUACCAGCCAUUCCUAGUGCUUCUCUGUAUCCUCUCUUUUUUCCUUUGACCAUGUCACACUGACAGUUUUGUGGCUUCCACCUUCCUUACCAGAUGCAGCCUGAUAACACCUUCCCUCAGGCCUGCAGGGUUGUACCACUUGCUUCUUGACCUGGGUCUUCUCUGAUGUGGGAUGUUUCCAUAACUACAAAGUGAAAGUAGAGAAGGGGUUUCACCGUGGUCUCAAUCUCCUGACCUCGUGAUCUGCCCGCCUCGGCCUCCCAAAGUGCUGGGAUUACAAGCGUGACCCACCGCGCCCCGCCUGGAAAACUUUCAGUGAUCACCCAAGAUGGCGUCUGCCUUUGUUGCCCAGGCUGGAGUGCAGUGGUGCCAUUUCGGCUCACUGCAACCUCUGCCUCCAGGGUUCAAGGGAUUCUUCUGCCUUAGCCUCCUGAUUAUGACUUUUUUAAAGUUAUAGAAUACACUUAAGAACAACUGGAAGAAAUUUGAAUAUGUACCUCUAUUUGAUGUUACUAAGGAAUUGUUGUUAACUCCUUACAUAUGAUAAUGGAAUAGUAUGGCUGUAAAUGAACAUGUCCUCAUUCUUUAGGAGAUACAUCCUGAAGCAUCUUGAUGUCUUUCAUUGAUUUUCACAUAGUUUAUUUGAAAAAUACAAACACAUUUAUAGCUACAUUAAGCAAAUGUGGCAAAAGUUAACAGUUAUUGAAUUUAGAUGUUGGGCAUAUGGAUGUUCAUUGUUCAUUUAAACAUUUCAGUAUUUACAAAUGUAUAAUAUAAAUUUGGAAACAAAAGAAAAAUGACAUAUGUGUUUUGUGUGUGUGAUUCUAUUUGUGUAUAUGUAUGUGAGUUAAUCUCCAGAAAUUCAAUAAAAAUCUUUGUCUCAGAAU
rnacentral:lncRNA from 1 species